GUUGUCCUUCAAAAUCAGUAUAUGUUUGUAUCUUUUCAAUCAAUAGCAGCAUUUGUUGGAUCACGAGUGGCUAAUUAUCAGAGAAGCCAUAUUCCGACCCUGGCAGGUUACUUCCUUUAUUUUAACACCUAAAAUUCAUUUGUAUUUAUUUUUCCUAUGCCAUAUAGUAUAGUAUGAAUUAGUUAUAAGUGUUAUUUGGAUCCUAGCUAGCUACUAAAUGGAGAAUCGUCAUCCGAUGCUUCUUCGUGGUUUCACAAGUAUGUUGCUACAACUCUAUGAUUGAAGGAUUAAAGACAUCGUCCAUUCAAAUUGUCAUGAUUAGAUGAGAGUGAAUACAUCAUAAAACCAUACAUAAGUAUUUAUCAUCAUUAGUGGUUAAGAAGAAGGAAGAUCAUAAGAAAGCUAAGAAGCCCCGAAUUAUUUUUCAAACAAGAAGUCGGGUUGAUAUACUUGAUGAUGACUAUGGCUGAAGAAGAUAUGGACGGAAAGCUGUCAAUUAGAAUAAUUACUUAAGGUACUCCAAUUAAUUAAUUCCUUUUAGGUUUAGAAUUUAUUUGGACUGUCAUUAAUUUUAGGGUU
rnacentral:lncRNA from 1 species